rnacentral:rRNA from 1 species
ACGGAAGGCAGCAGUGGGGAAUAUUGCACAAUGGGCGCAAGCCUGAUGCAGCGACGCCGCGUGAGGGAAGACGGUCUUCGGAUUGUAAACCUUUGUCUUUGGUGAAGAAAGUGACGGUAGCCAAGGAGGAAGCCACGGCUAACUACGUGCCAGCAGCCGCGGUAAUACGUAGGUGGCAAGCGUUGUCCGGAAUUACUGGGUGUAAAGGGAGCGCAGGCGGGACAGCAAGUUGGAUGUGAAAUACCGAGGCUUAACCACGGAGCUGCAGCCAAAACUGUUGUUCUUGAGUGAAGGAGAGGUAGGCGGAAUUCCGAGUGUAGCGGUGAAAUGCGUAGAUAUUCGGAGGAACACCAGUGGCGAAGGCGGCCUACUGGGAUUUAACUGACGCUGAGGCUCGAAAGUGUGGGGAGCAAACAGGAUUAGAUACCCUGGUA